rnacentral:rRNA from 1 species
CGAACGCUGGCGGCGUGCCUAAUACAUGCAAGUCGAGCGCGGGAAGCGGGCAAUCACCCGUUCGGGGUGUGCGUCCGUGGAACGAGCGGCGGAUGGGUGAGUAUCACGUGGGCAACCUGCCUGUAAGAUUGGGAUAACUCGCGGAAACGUGAGCUAAUACCGAAUGAAGUCUUUCACCGCCUGGUGAAGGGAUGAAAGAUGGCUCUUGAGCUAUCACUUACAGAUGGGCCCGCGGCGCAUUAGCUAGUUGGUGGGGUAAAGGCCUACCAAGGCGACGAUGCGUAGCCGACCUGAGAGGGUGAUCGGCCACACUGGGACUGAGACACGGCCCAGACUCCUACGGGAGGCAGCAGUAGGGAAUCUUCCGCAAUGGACGAAAGUCUGACGGAGCAACGCCGCGUGAGUGAUGAAGGUCUUCGGAUCGUAAAAACUCUGUUGUCAGGGAAGAACAAGUUGUGUUCUAACAGGACAUGACCUUGACGGUACCUGACCAGAAAGCCCCGGCUAACUACGUGCCAGCAGCCGC